rnacentral:rRNA from 1 species
GACGAACGCUGGCGGCGUGCUUAACACAUGCAAGUCGAACGGAAAGGCCCUGCUUUUGUGGGGUGCUCGAGUGGCGAACGGGUGAGUAACACGUGAGUAACCUGCCCUUGACUUUGGGAUAACUUCAGGAAACUGGGGCUAAUACCGGAUAGGAGCUCCUGCUGCAUGGUGGGGGUUGGAAAGUUUCGGCGGUUGGGGAUGGACUCGCGGCUUAUCAGCUUGUUGGUGGGGUAGUGGCUUACCAAGGCUUUGACGGGUAGCCGGCCUGAGAGGGUGACCGGCAACAUUGGGACUGAGAUACGGCCCAGACUCCUACGGGAGGCAGCAGUGGGGAAUAUUGCACGAUGGGCGGAAGCCUGAUGAAGCAACGCCGCGUGCGGGAUGACGGCCUUCGGGUUGUAAACCGCUUUCGCCUGUGACGAAGCGUGAGUGACGGUAAUGGGUAAAGAAGCACCGGCUAACUACGUG